AUAAAAAAUUUAACGACUGUUAGUUGAUGACUUGUUAACAGUUUAGAUGUAGAGAACAUUAGACCGAAUAGGCUAGUAAUUAUCGAAAGUCUUUGUAAAAUUUGCCUUGAGUUGUCUAUGGUUGCUAAAAAGGACAACUAAUUGAAAAUUGAAAUAACAUACAAAAAAGCUAGAGGUUAGCAUUAAAUGAAAUUUUACGAGUUCCAUGAGUGUCGUGAACUAAAACACUCCGUGACGCUUGGAAGUCUGACAGACCUAUUAUAUAACAAGAAUGAAAUUUGUUUACUUGUUCUUUAGGUUGCUGGGAUAACAAGACACGUUAGGGGCUAGGGGCUUAACCAAAAAGGCAAGGGCAACUAUUACCUAAAAUAAGGUAACUAAA
rnacentral:misc_RNA from 2 species